rnacentral:rRNA from 1 species
GAUGAACGCUGGCGGCGUGCCUAAUACAUGCAAGUCGAGCGAACAGACCAGGAGCUUGCUCCUCUGACGUUUGCGGCGGACGGGUGAGUAACACGUGGAUACCCUACCUAUAAGACUGGGAUAAUUUCGGGAAACCGGAGCUAAUACCGGAUAAUAUACUGAACCGCAUGGUUCAAUAGUGAAAGACGGCUUUGCUGUCACUUAUAGAUGGAUCCGCGCCGCAUUAGCUAGUUGGUAAGGUAACGGCUUACCAAGGCAACGAUGCGUAGCCGACCUGAGAGGGUGAUCGGCCGCACUGGAGCUGGGCCGCGGUCCAGACUCCUACGGGAGGCCGCAGUAGCGAAGCUUCCGCAAUGGGCGCAAGCCGGACGCAGCAACGCCGCGUCAGUGAUGCAGGGCCCCGGAGCGUAAACAUGUGUUAUGAGGGAAGAACCAAUGUGUACGUGACUGAGGCUGGUUUGACGGUACCGACUCAGAAAGCGCCGGCUAACUACGUG